UAUAUCUAUAUCAUCUAAAUCUAUAUCUACACACACACACACACACUCUCAUCCUACCCCGGGUUGUGAAAACUGUCUUUCUGUUUCAGUGUUUCCCAAAAGUAGUUCUGCUUCAUCCCAAUUCUUCUUUCUUUUCCAGGCUAUAUUUAUAGGAUGACUGUAAGCCAUAGGAAGAGAGAUUUACUGUCAUCUUCAAUGAACUACCUGGCAAGCCCUAUUGAUGUUACAUAUCUAAGCAAAGACCAAACUAAUUGUGGAAAAACACACAUCUUUAUCUAGGUCAUUAAUACAUCAAGCGAAACUCCAUAAAUAUGGUCUCAUUCGGUGGCUUGGGAUCUCUGUUAGUACUCUUAUGAUCUCCGAAGGCCUCUUUGGAUUUGACACACCAAGGCAGUAUUUAUGCCUCUUUGGCAUAUCCUUAAUAUUUCAAUGGUGACAUUGUCCUUAUAGUCCUUCGAGUUCCCUCCCCGCCAUAAAAGAGAAGCAGGUCCCAAAGCUAAACGAAAUGUAUGAGGACUACAGACAUGAAGCAGACACACAUCAGGUGCAGCAGGACGCCUGCUUUGCGUCAGCUUUCUACCUACUGCCUUUCAAACAGGCAGCAAGACAAUCCUUCAUUUUACCUGUUUGGAUGCUGAACAGGCCUCUUUUCAUACAGCAGACAUUAACCAGUGAAGGUGGACAGGUGUUCUCCAGAAACGCUUGGACCAGGGACGUUUGGAAACUUGCUCGUUAUCUGGCAAUCAGAGCACAAACAUGCAAUUUAUCCCCCUGCCUACCUAUAUUCCACUCCUCAGUCAGGUGCAGGCUACUUUGACAUUUACAGGAUGGGUCGUGGUUCUGCCAAAAUCCCAUUCAUUCCAGUGGUAGAGACUGAAACGGAGCUUUAAAGUACAGACCGCGACUGUGAAGAGAAAAGAGAAAAGGUAAGUGUGGAGAAGCUCUGUGUCUCCUUAGCUGAGCCCAACAUUUUGAGAAUCUCCACCGUUAUUAUUUAAACAGCAUCUAUAUUUCUGCAUGAAAUAUCCUCUGUAAUGUUGAACAAGACCCAGAUACCAAAAUCCGUAAACAUGCAUUGCUGCAACAUGAGAGAAGUGGACUCACUUCCAGAAAUCAUAGUGUCCAGAUCUGGGGCCGAAAGCUAAAAAUAGCUAAAACAAACAAGGAUAGAUUAUUUCAGUGAAGGGCCGUUUAAUGGAUACAUGUAACUUCCUAGCAUUUUGUAAAUAUAUGUUUUUAAUGGUAAAUGGAAAAAAAGCAGUAACAAAUUAGAAAUCAGUUAAUAAAAGCAUCUUUCUCCAUGCAAGACAUUACGAUUGUAUUUAAACAAUUCUCAUUUUUAAAUGUUGCCUUUGCUGCUGCUAGUCUGAAGUCAAGUUCACCAUAUUACCUAAGGCUGCAAUGCACACUUAGUAAGGAAUAAAUCCCAUUGGGCCCAGUAGGACUUACUUCUGACUAAACAUGCAUAGGAUUGUGCUGCAUAUGGUAUGAACUAAUUAGUGUGUGUGUGUGUGUGUGUGUGUGUGUGUGUGUGUAGGGGGGAACAGGAUUAUGUAUUUCAUGUUGAGCCCAACACGUGGAAAAUAUCAAGAUAGGAAUGCAGUGUCUACAUUAGCUAAGAAUGUCGUAAAUGUGGGCCAGAUCCCAAACUUGCCAUAGUAAGACGAUUCAGAGGAAAGGAUUAGGACAGAGAAAACUGACUACUACAUGUAUUCCUGGAAAUUAAUUUCAUAUGAAAAUUUAUUUAGCAAGUGAUAUAAAUAACAUUAUUCUUCACUAUUGUUGUGCCAUGCCAUAGACAGCAGUUAUGAGCCUUCAUAAAUCUGUGAGAACUCAGACAGAUAUUGAGGGACAAGCAUCACUCUUCACUUGUUCACAUUAACUCAUAAAACUAACACAGCUAUCUUCUUUUGGCCACUAGGCCAAAGAUCCUCUUGCUCUCUCUUGUCCCAGCCACUGUUUAUGCUCUGAUCUUCAAGCUGUAUAUGAAACUGGCUGAUGAUGCGCUCAACAAUUUUGUGGGUAUCAGGCAUAUUACUUUUUGAAAUAUGGCAAGCCUACAGCAUCUUGUGUUCCUGUCUCUUUUUCUGCCCUUUUUUUAAGAUAUGGCGGCCAUUUUUGUGUUACAUUACACAACUUGCAGCAGCCAUUUGGUGACUAGCACCUACCUACAACAUUUUCUCUAAAUUUCAAAUGUCCUCCCUGGUCCAAAGAGGACGGCAACCCCAGCUUAAUCACUCAAGGUUAACGAAUUUGCAUGUUUUCAAAAGAAUCCGUGGAUUAGAACAUUCCCAAAGGAACAAAGCUUCCCAGGUUCUCGUUUUAAAAUGUCAAAGAUGAUUUGUGUAUCUGAAGAAGUGUGCAUGCACACGAAAGCUUAUACCCAGAACUAUUAGGAUAUAAUUCCAUUCCACCUUAAAAGGGUACAGGGAUGACGUUUGUGUAUCACAUGCCUGUUUACUCCCAGCACUGUCUGCUGGGAACUUUCGUUGUGUAUAGCUUUUGUGCUAGCGCUGUUUUGCUGGACACGAAGGCAAGCAGUUAUGGUUUCCUUUGUUCCUGAACUAUGCUGA
rnacentral:lncRNA from 1 species